rnacentral:tRNA from 1 species
GGCGCUGUAGCUAAAUUGGUUAAAACACCUGUCUUGUAAACAGGAGAUCCUGAGUUCAACUCUCAGCAAUGACU